rnacentral:rRNA from 1 species
GACGAACGCUGGCGGCGUGCCUAAUACAUGCAAGUAGAACGCUGAAGGAGGAGCUUACUUCUCUGGAUGAGUUGCGAACGGGUGAGUAACGCGUAGGUAACCUGCCUGGUAGCGGGGGAUAACUAUUGGAAACGAUAGCUAAUACCGCAUAAGAGUAGAUGUUGCAUGACAUUUACUUAAAAGGAGCAAUUGCACCACUACCAGAUGGACCUGCGUUGUAUUAGCUAGUUGGUGGCGUAACGGCUUACCAAGGCGACGAUACAUAGCCGACCUGAGAGGGUGAUCGGCCACACUGGGACUGAGACACGGCCCAGACUCCUACGGGAGGCAGCAGUAGGGAAUCUUCGGCAAUGGACGGAAGUCUGACCGAGCAACGCCGCGUGAGUGAAGAAGGUUUUCGGAUCGUAAAGCUCUGUUGUAAGAGAAGAACGAGUGUGAGAGUGGAAAGUUCACACUGUGACGGUAUCUUACCAGAAAGGGACGGCUAACUACGUGCCAGCCGCCGCGGUAA